rnacentral:misc_RNA from 1 species
CUGAGAACUUGCCCUUUCGGGGUAGAUCUCCCACCCUCUGUCUACAUACUUUGUUGCUUUGGCAGGCCUGCCUCUGCGCUACUGGCCUCGGCUAGUUAGUGCCUGCCAGAGAAUCAAAACCCAGAAUCAUUUAUUGUCUGAGUAAUAUUUAAUAGUUA